AAAGCACCUGCAGGGCUUGAACC
rnacentral:miRNA from 1 species